rnacentral:rRNA from 1 species
AUUGAACGCUGGCGGCAUGCUUUACACAUGCAAGUCGAGCGGUAACAGGCCGCAAGGUGCUGACGAGUGGCGAACGGGUGAGUAAUGCAUCGGAACGUGCCCAGUCGUGGGGGAUAACUACUCGAAAGAGUAGCUAAUACCGCAUACGAUCUAUGGAUGAAAGCGGGGGACCGUAAGGCCUCGCGCGAUUGGAGCGGCCGAUGUCAGAUUAGGUAGUUGGUGGGGUAAAGGGUCACCAAGCCAACGAUCUGUAGCUGGUCUGAGAGGACGACCAGCCACACUGGGACUGAGACACGGCCCAGACUCCUACGGGAGGCAGCAGUGGGGAAUGUUGGACAAUGGGCGCAAGCCUGAUCCAGCAAUGCCGCGUGCAGGAAGAAGGCCUUCGGGUUGUAAACUGCUUUUGUACGGAACGAAACGGCUCUGGUUAAUACCCGGGGCUAAUGACGGUACCGUAAGAAUAAGCACCGGCUAACUACGUG